CGCGCCCCAGGCGCACGACAAGCCCUGCGUCAGGAGGUUGAGCACAGACCAUGUGGACAGCAGUGUGGUUGGCAAGUCAUUUAACUUUUCCAAACAAAUCUGCAAAAUGGAGAUAACAGCACCUGCCUCAUUGCGUUGUGAAGAAGAUGAAAUGUUUAGCCCGGUGCCCAACACCCAGUUCUCACUCUGUCAUCCAGGCUGGUGUGCAGUGGUGCAAUGUGGGCUUACUGCAGCCUUGACCUCCAGGACAAGUGAUCUCCCACCUCAGCCUCCGGAAUAGCUGGGACUACAGCUCAACAACGCCCCUCUGAAAGUAGGACUCUUGGAAAUGAACCUUGUUGGGAGUAAAGCUGAACCUUCACCUCUCCUUUCCAGGAUUCUACUCCAUUCAUACGGCCUCACACUGAAUUAAUGUUUCUAGCAGCCACAUUACUUUGUUACCCAAUUGAUCUAGUAGUAAAGUCUUCCCAUCUCUUCAUGUACCACUGGUUUAUUGACUCUUAAUGUAGGAUUCUACAUUUGUUUGUUGUUUAUCUUGUUAGAUCCAGCCUGUUGUUACAAUCUUGUAGGAAGUUAACUGGAUCCUGAUUCUACAUAUAGCUGAUUGACAUUUUGGAGGGUUUUGCAAUAACCAUUUCCCUUCCUGACAGCAUCCUAACUUCCUUUGGGGGACCUGUGUCUGUUCCCAUGUGGGCAGUCUUGGCCAGAAUGCAGUCCUAGGGCCCCCUACAGAAGCUGAGGAGUCUGGAUCCUUCCUCUCACUUCCCCUUGUGAACUCGCUGGGAGCCUCCUUUGGAGAUGUUGAGAUUCCCUCCACAGGCUCAGAGCUGGCCCGGUUCCCUUCCUCAGUUUCUCCUGAGAAGGGCAGGUGUGUGAGUGCCUGACCUCCCAGUCCAUGCAGGGCCAUCUGGCUGCUUGCUGGCUGCCCUCUUUGGAACCAGGGGCCCCAAUCCCAUCGCGUUUCUAAACCACCAACCGGCAGGCAUUCUGAGAUUCCAAACAAAUGCAAGAGAGAUUAGGAUCCCUUUGGCUAGAGGCCAAGGUGAAAGCUGAUCCUGCGGAAAGAGGAGACUGGCUGGGGUGGAGGUGAAUGUAAGCGGGGAACACGAGGUGCGCAGGUGUGGACGGGGAGUAUCUCAGCUCCAGAUGGAGCUCCCAGCAUCCUUCUGCAGACUCUGGGACGGCGGGGAUAAAUGGAAGGUGACUCCAAGUAUACAAGGGAUGGUCAAUAUCUCCUGUUCACCAAGCACUUGGUCUGCCAAAAACUAUGCUACACACCAUUAUUCUUUUUAAGUCCUCAUGACAACCCUAGGUUUUAUGUUUUUCAUUAUACAGCUGGCAAGCUGAAGCUCAGAGAAGUUCAAUAACUUGUUAAAGGUCAUGCAGCAACUAAGGGGCCAAGCCACAGGCCUGACUUUAGAACUAGUGCUCUUUGUUUUGAGAUGGAAUCUUGCUUUUGUAUUUUUAGUAGAGGCAGGGUUUCGCCAUGUUGGCCAGGCUGGUCUCAAACUCUUGGCCUCAAGUGAUCAGCCUGCCUCGCCCUCCCAAAGUGCUAGGAUUACAGGCAUGAGUCACCACGCCUGGCCAGAACCAGUGCUCUUAAUAGUAAUGACACCCUCCUGCCCCUCUGGAAGAACCUGAGAGAGGAAAGUGGGGGAGAGGGAAACCCCAGGCCUUCCAGGCGGCCCCUACUGUGUUAGGAGUUAAUUGAGUCCAUGAAAAUAGGCCCUCCAGUUUGGAUCUCUGUUGACUUCAAACCAACAGAGCUGAAAGUUGUUGUGACUCCCCAAGGAAAGAGUGAGAAAGAAAAGGCAAAGAAGAUGGGGCUGGCAAUGAUGAAAUCUCCUGCUUAGACAAAGCCCAGGACAGUUGGUUGGCAUUUUCAUUCUGGCUGGUUGCUCUGGCAGGCAUGAGAAAAUAAACAAAAGGGAGAACAGGUGGGAGAAAGUGCAGGCUGGUGAACCUUCUCUGUGCUCUGCCCACUGUCCUGAACUCUGAGGGCACGGGGAGUUAUACUCUUUUACCAAACUGGCCAAAUUCAGCCUGAAGGGCUCCUGGAGUCUUAGCCUACUCAUUCUCAGAUUUUAGCUUCCACCAACACCAACUAAACAAACCUGAUCUUUUUAAAGAGGUUUUUUGUUUGUUUUUUGAGACAGAGUCUCUCACUUUCACCCAGGCUGGAGGGCAGUGGCACAAUCUCAGCUCACUGUAACCUCCGCCUCCUGAGUUCAAGCCGUUUUCCUGCCUCAGCCACCCGAGUAGCUGGGACUACAGGAAUGCACCACCAGGCCUGGCUGAUUUUUGUAUUUUUGGCAGAGAUGGGGUUUCACCAUGUUGGCCAGGCCGGUCUCAAACUCCUGACCUCAAGUGAUCUGCCUGCCUUGGCCUCCCAAAGUGCUGGGAUUACAGGCGUGAGCCACCACACCUGGCCAAGAGUUAUUUAUUUUUUUUGUGUGUGAAAUCUGAUGCCACUUUAAAAUCAGCAGAUCCUUACCCCAUUCCCUUUCACUCUCAAUUCCCACUUUCUGGAAGUAAUUAUUGUCAAGUCUUUCUGGUACUUCUGGUUAUUUCUUCUGGUAUUUAUCCUAUUUUCACAUCAGAUUUAUGCGGCUAAUGUUAAUUAUUUUCAGUUUUGGGGGUUAAUCUAUUGACUACUAUGAAGAUAAUAUGAAAAUGUAGUUCUUCUAUUACUUUCCAUAUUUUUCUGUAGUUUUUUGGUAUCAUUAUUCUGCAUUUACAAUACUAGAACUGUGAAACAAGUAUUCAAGCUGAUUCAAGAAGUGUGCUGUGAGGAUAAUAAUUCCCUCUCCAGACAUUGUUUCUCCUGCAGUAAGUACUGCUUGGUUUUUCAUUUGCUUAAUUUUCCAUGCAUCUAUCACUAAUUCAUUCCCCUUAAUCUUUCCUUAAAGUGAAAAACAAUUGAAAGAUUUAAUUUCCCAUUCAGAUAACAUUUUCAGAGAUUCACAGAAUUCUACAGAGACAACAAACAACAUGGUUUCUUCGACAGAUGAAUGUCUUGAAAAAAAAGGGAGGGAGGGAAAACUGUUACAUAAGAGAUUUAAGAGAUAUAGCAACCAAAUGCCACGUGGGGGCCUCGUUGGGAGCCUCAGUCAAAUAAAUCCACUGUGGAAAAGACAUUUUAAGACAAUUAGGGAAAUAUGAACACAGAUUGAGUCUUAGGACAUAUUAAGGUAUAAGCAUGUUUGCAUCGGGUGAAAUAAUGGCCUUGUGGGUUAUGUGUAAAAAAUUCCAUAUCUGUUAUGAUACCUACGACUUAUGUGUGAAAUGACAUACUUGUGAUUUACUUUGAAAAUAUCCAACUUCCCUGCUCCCUCCCCUCCCACAAAAAAGUGAUUUUGGGAGAUACAUUAAAAAAUUCUGGGCCAGGGGCAGUGGCUCACGCCUGUAGUCCCAGCACUUUGGGAGGCCAAGUCAGGUGAAUCACCUGAGGUCAGGAGUUCGAGACCAGCCUGGCCAACAUGGUGAAACCCCGUCUCUACUAAAAAUCCAAAAAUUAGCCAGAUGCAGUGGUGCACGCCUAUAAUCCCAGCUACUCGGGAGGCUGAGGCACGAGAAUCGCUUGAACCCGGGAGGCAGAGGUUGCAGUGAGCCAAGAUCGUGCCACUGCACGCCAGCCUGGGUGACAGAGCAAGAUUCUGUCUCAAAAAAAAAAAAAAAUUCUGGUAAAAUAGUGAUAAUUACUUUAUUAUUAUUUAUUUAUCGUUUUGAGACAGGGUCUCGCUCUGUCUUCCAGGCUGGAGUGCAGUGGUGCAAUGAUGGCUCACUGCAGCCUUGACCUCCUGGGCUCAAGCAAUCCUUCCACCUCAUCCUCCUCGGUAGCUGGGACUACAGGCAUGUGCCACCAUGCCUGGCUGAUUUUUUUUUUCAUUUUCUUGUGAGGCCUCACUAUGUUGCCUAAACUGGUCUCCAACUCCCAGGCUCAAGUGAUCCUCCCGCCUCACCCUCCCAAAGUACUUGGAAUGCAGGCAUGAGACAUUGUGCCUAACCUAUUUUACUGUUUUAGAGACAGGGUCUCAAUCUGUUGCCCAGGCUGGAGUGCAGUGGCACAGUCAUGGCUCACUGUAAUCUUCAACUUCUGGGCUCAAGCAACCACCCACCUGCCUCAGGCUCCUGAGUAGCUGGGACUACAGGCAUACGCCACCAUGCCCAGAUAACUUUAUUUUUUGUAGAGACAGGGUCUUGCUAUGUUGCCGGGCCAGUCUUGAACUCCUGGCCUCAAGCAAUCCUCCCACCUCAGCCUCCUAAAGUGCAAGGAUUACGGGCGUGAGCCACUGCACCUGGUCAGUACUUUAUUCUUUUUACUGCUGAAUAAUACGCCAUUGUAUGGCUAUACCAUAUUUCAUUUAUCCAUCUGUUAGCUGAUAGACAUUUGGGUUGUUUCCCACCUUGUGGCUACUAUGAAUAUUCAUGUAUACAUAAUUGUGUAGACAUGUUUUCUUUUUCUUCUUUCUUUUUUUUUUUUUUUUUUUGAGACAGAGUCUCGCUUUGUGGCCCAGUCGGUAGCCCAGGCUGGAGUGCAGUAGUGCGAUCUCAGCUCACUGCAACCUCUGGCUCUCAUGUUCAAGCAAUUCUCCUGCCUCAGCCUCCUGAGUAGCUGGGACUACAGGAGGCUCGAUCCACCUGCCUUGGUCUCCUAAAGUGCUGGAAUUACAGGCAUGAGCCAACGCACCUGAUCUGGACAUAUGUUUUCUUUUCUUUUUUUUUUGAGAUGGAGUCUCACCCUGUUGCCUAGACUGGAGUGCAAUGGCAUGAUCCUGGCUCACUGCAACCUCCACCUCCCAGGUUCAAGCGAUUCUCCUGCCUCAGCCUCCCGAGUAGCUGGGAUUACAGUGGCGCGCCAUCACGCCCAGCUAAUUUUUGUAUUUUUAGUAGAGACGGGGUUUCACCAUGUUGGUCAGGCUGGUCUCGAACUCCUGACCUCGUGAUCCGCCUGCCUCGGCCUCCCAAAGUGCUGGGAUUACCGGCAUGAGCCAUUAUGCCCGGCCAGUAUGUUUUCACUUCUCUUGGGUAUAUAUCUAUUUAGGAGUGGAACUGCUGAGUCAUAUGGAAAUUUUACAUUAAAACUUUUGAGGACCUGCCAGACUUUUCCAAAGUAGCCUUGUGACUGGUGGGGAGACUGAGGCCCAAAGAGGGAAACUGUCUUCUGCAAAGCAACACAGUGAGUGUGAGAAAGCAGGAGCUAAUCAUGGACAUGACUUCAAUGCUGCGCCUUCUCCUCUGACCGCAUUACCAUCUCACUCUCACUCCAGUGCUCUCCAUACCCACUUCUGCCCCUCCAUUCCAUUCCUUGCCCAGCAGCAAAUCCCUUCACACCAGUCCCUACAAAGGCUUCCUGCUGCCAUCAUCAGGAUGAAGUUCCGCCUCUGAGGGAUGACUUAUAAGCUCCUCUGCCAUCUGGCCCUAGUGCUGCCUCCUCAUCUUGUCUUCUGAAGCAGUUUUAGUGAGCUAUAAUUCGCACCCCACCCCAUUCACCCGUUUUAAGUGUACAAUCCAAAUGUUUAUCAGUCCUUUCAUACUCUACACUGCAGGGUCAUGCAGGUCUUGUUUCAGUUCCAUGAAAACACCAACAUCUUUGCUUCUGAGACUUUGUGCACACCGUUACCUCUGUUUAGAACAGUCUGUAUAUUUUUUUCUGGCAAGUUCCUCAUGAUCUUUCACAUCUUAGUUGAGAUGUUUCUGCUGGGAAGCCUUCCCUGAGCAUUCGGGUUGACUGGAUGACCUGCAGGAUGUUCCCAUGGCCUCCCUAGGAUCGUCCCUGUCACAGCAUGUACUAUAGUAGUCUGAGGUUUUUUGGUUUUUGUUUUUUUUUUGAGAUGGAGUCUCACUCUAUCGCCCGGGCUGGAGUGCAGUGGCGCAAUCUCGGCUCACUGCAAGCUCCACCUCCUGGGUUCACGCCAUUCUCCUGCCUCAGCCUCCAAAGUAGCUGGGCCUACAGGCACCCGCCACCAUGCCCGGCUAAUUUUUUUGUAUUUUUUAGUGGAGAGAGGGUUUCACCGUGUUAGCCAGGUUGGUCUAGCAGUCUGAGUUUUUAAGGUCUGUGACUGUGUCUUGUUCAUAUGCAGUGCCUGGCAACACUCAAUUCACUAUUGGUUGAAUGAACAGAAAGAUCUGAAAAUAUCUAGCAUGGCCCUGAGCACACUGUAGAAAUCCUGCAAAUGUUUGCAGACCGCAAUUACUUCCAAGGACAGGGACAGCACCUCCUGUUGGGAACAUUCCAGAUGGUUUGGAUGAUUAAAGGAUUACUAAUCUCGUGCCUCUAUAAGAAAACUAACUGUCUAAGAAGCAGACUUGAGAAAGCAACUGAGUCCUGAUGAUAUCAUGAGAGGCCCUGGACCCAGCUGUGCCUGAAGCCAACCACCAGACAUUUUAGUUAUUGAGUCAAUUUCCAUUCCUUUUUAAUUGCUUGAGUUCAGCUUGUCACCUGCAACUGCAAUAUUCCUAAUCCAGUUAGUAACCCUCUUUCACAUACACACAUACCCAUCACACACCUUACAGACCAAACAGAGGAAUCGAGCUGACUUUUGUCCCUAAGCACGGGUUUACCUACUCACCUCAAAUCUAAAUUGUAUUUUUCUGAGUUGUGUUGUGCAGUUGACUGUCAAUAUUUAGCUUUCCUUGUACGGUACUUUCUAUACCAAGCUUGUCUGGCCUGUAGGCUGCAUGCCGCCCAGGACAGCUUGGUAUGGGGCCCAACACAAAUUCAUAAACUUUCUUAAAACAUUGUUUUUUGUUUGUUUUGUAGCUUAUCAGCUAUCGUCAGUGUUAGUGUAUUUUAUGUGUGGCCCAAGACAAUUCUUAUUCCAGUGUGGCCCAGGGAGGCCAAAGGAUUGGACACCCCUGUUCUAUUCCAUGAUCAGCAAGUAGACAUUUGCGGUGUCCUAAGUAGUAUCAGGUGAUAAGUCAAGGUGGAUGGAAGAGAUGCAAUUCUCAUUUAUAGCCUGGCCCAAAUUGAACUCCAAGAAACACACACAAUAAGCACUGCUCCCUAAGCCUGUGCGCUGUUCUGGAAAGAGCCUACUAAAACAACCUUGGCUUUUCUUUUUGACUCGCUGAUGCCAAGGACAGGUCUGUGCAUUUACUACCAGUACAAUGGGACAGGAAAGUCUCACACACAUUUUUUUAUUCUUUGAGAUGGAGUUUCACUCUUGUUGCCCAGGCUGGAGUGCAGUGGCACGAUCUCGGCUCACUGCAACCUCUGCCUCCCAGGUUCAAGUGGUUCUCCUGCCUCAGCCUCCCGAGUAACUGGGAUUACAGGUGCACACCACCAUGCCUGGCUAAUUUUUGUAUAUUUAGUAGAGACGGGGUCUCACCAUGUUGGCCAGGCUGGUCACACACAUUUUAACCACCCAUCUUUGCUACAAGGGAAAAAGGCCAAACCUUGUGUGGGUGAAGAGGCAGACUCAAAUGCUCCCGAUGCAGAGGAACGAGGCGGCUACCACUCAAUCACCAAUUACCAUUUGCAUGCUACCCAACCUGGACCUUUCCAGGGCAUACUGGACCACUCCCCACUUCCUUGGGGUGCAAUGAAUUGCAGACAGUUUAAUCCAUGGGCUUUUGCUGAUUCUGUUUUCUCUGCUUGGAAUGCCCUUCUACACAGAGGAAGUCUUUCAAGACCCAGGUCAAAGGUUAGCUCUCCUGUGAACACUUGUUCCUUUUCUAUCUGGUAUAAGCAGCCAUUUUAACUAUCGUUAAAGGUCAGGGUUUCUUAACUUGGGUCUGCGGGUCAUUAUGAAUAAGUUUUAGAGGGACAUGUCUGUAUCUAUGUCCACAUAUGUUACUCUGGAGGCCAGGGUCAGAGAUUCCAGAUUCUCAGAUUCGGUGACCUCAAAAAAAGGUCUCUUUUGGCCAGGCACAGUGGCUCAUGCCUGUAAUCCCAGCACUUUGGGAGGGUGAGGCAGGAGGAUGGCUUGAGCUCACAAGUUCAAGACCAGUCUGGGCAACAUAGCAAGGUAUCGUCUCUAAAAAAAUAAUAAAAAAUUUUAAAAAGCUCUUAGGUGUCUCUCUCUUGUGAGUUGAGGGCAAGGUUCACAUCUCUUUCGUCUUAGACUCCCCGCACUGAUCCAAGAUAGACAGUCAACUGCUGGC
rnacentral:lncRNA from 10 species